rnacentral:rRNA from 1 species
GACGAACGCUGGCGGCGUGCUUAACACAUGCAAGUCGAACGAUGAAGCCGGAGCUUGCUCUGGUGAAUUAGUGGCGAACGGGUGAGUAACACGUGAGUAACCUGCCCUUGACUCUGGGAUAACUGCUAGAAAUGGUAGCUAAUACCGGAUACGACCCUCGGAGGCAUCUCCAGGGGGUGGAAAGAAUUUCGGUCAAGGAUGGACUCGCGGCCUAUCAGCUAGUUGGUGAGGUAAUGGCUCACCAAGGGGACGACGGGUAGCCGGCCUGGGAGGGUGACCGGCCACACGGGGACUGAGACACGGCCCAGACUCCUACGGGAGGCAGCAGUGGGGAAUAUUGCACAAUGGGCGCAAGCCUGAGGCAGCAACGCCGCGUGAGGGAUGACGGCCUUCGGGUUGUAAACCUCUUUUAGUAGGGAAGAAGCGAAAGUGACGGUACCUGCAGAAAAAGCACCGGCCAACUACGUGCCAGCAGCCGCCGUAA